rnacentral:lncRNA from 1 species
UUUGAAGACUUUGACUCAAGACUUUCUCAUUUGAGAGCAGCCCAUCCUUUGACGACUUUGAAAGAAAAUCAUCAGCAAGGAAAAACCCAAAAUCCAAAACCAAAAAUCCAAAGUGAUUGAGCAUCACUAAAGACAUUGUUCCUAUAUGGAACCGACGCUUGUGACCUUUGUAGACUUUGUAUCUUCCAGGUGGUUAGGCAUCAUGAUCUAGAGUACCUAAUUGGAAAUUGUGCAUUGUCGGGUGGCCGAGUUUGUGAGGGUUUCGAAGUCUAUCCUAAAGACUUACCACGAGUGUUGGCGAGGUCUGUGUGACCUUAGCUCAAGGAGAAUACGGUAACGAUUGUGUGUCUUGGGACUGUGUGUCCUUUGGUUUAAAUACCAAGCCACUCCAAACGAGACGUAUGACUGUGAGAGCAGUUGGAAUUGGGUCAUCAAACCAUUGUCUUCACUGAGCUCCUGGUUCUAUUUCCUCAACUCUUUCAUUUCCUCGAAUACUUGUUGAUGAAAUUGAUUGUUACUGUUUGAGGACUUUGACUCAAGACUUUCUCAAUUUCCUCAUCUAAAAUUCUUCAUCACCUUGUUCUUCACGUGUUUAUCCUGUUUACACGCUAUCACACUGUGUAUGUUUCAUUUUGUUAUGACCACUAUGCUGCCAUGUCAUCCUUACACCUGAGUACUUAUUCCGCUGCAAGUAGUUCGUCACUUAGCAAAUUCCUCAAGUAAAAAUUCAUGAGUGACGAAUUUGUAAAAAUUGCCUAUUCGCACCCCCUGUAGUUGAUAUAACACACUUUCACAUCUCCUGGUCAUCCAAGCAAGGGCACAUGGUUUUGCGAUCCAAUCAUGGCAGAGUAUUGUGG